GUUGCCAGCCGCCGCGGUAAUACCGGCAGCUCAAGUGAUGGCCACUCUUAUUGGGCCUAAAGCGUCCGUAGCUGGCCGCGCAAGUCCGUCGGGAAAUCCACUCGCCCAACGAGUGGGCGUCCGACGGAAACUGCACAGCUUGGAACCGGAAGGCUCAGAGAGUACGUCCGGGGUAGGAGUGAAAUCCCGUAAUCCCGGACGGACUACCGAUGGCGAAAGCACUCUGAGAAGACGGCUUCGACAGUGAGGGACGAAAGCUCGGGUCUCAAACCGGAUUAGAUACCCUGGUAGUCC
rnacentral:rRNA from 1 species